UUUUAACCUCUCCUUAAUGA
rnacentral:tRNA from 1 species